rnacentral:rRNA from 1 species
UACGGAGGGGGCUAGCGUUGUUCGGAAUUACUGGGCGUAAAGCGUGCGCAGGCGGUUCGUUGUGUCGGCGGUGAAAUCCCCGGGCUCAACCUGGGAAUGGCCGUUGAAACUGGCGAACUGGAGUGUGGCAGAGGGGGGUGGAAUUCCGCGUGUAGCAGUGAAAUGCGUAGAGAUGCGGAGGAACACCGAUGGCGAAGGCAGCCCCCUGGGCUGACACUGACGCUCAGGCACGAAAGCGUGGGGAGCAAACAGG